rnacentral:lncRNA from 1 species
GACAACUCAGUGGAAAUUCAUCCCCCCGAGUAAAGGGGACGAUGCUACACAGGUUGUUAAGCCGUUACCAAGGAAGAUGUCUUGCACAAUGAGAAACUAGAAGGGAAACACAAACCUAAAGAGUCUUCGCAGAAAGCUCCCAACAUUCUGCCUAAUGAGGAAAAUGAGGUUACAACAGACAAUGAUGCCAAGGAUGAGGUCGAGACAAAUAAGAGGUUAAAAGAAACUGGACUUUUGAGCUCUAGAAGCACUACUGGGAUUGAGAAAAUUUCACCAGAUUGUAGUAGAUCCCUUUCUUCUCCCCAAUCUAUGUUCCCCAAUCGUUUAGCGGAAGACAUUCCUAUUCGAAAUUCAUUCGACAUGUUAAUUGAUCAAUUGCACUUGGAAGUUGGAAAAGACCCUCCGGAUUACUCUUUCGAUGUUGGCAGGGAUGGAGGUUAACAUUCUGAUACGGAUAUACUAGACAUUGCAGCCAAUAACAG